AAAUUGAAGAGUUUGAUCAUGGCUCAGAUUGAACGCUGGCGGCAGGCCUAACACAUGCAAGUCGAACGGUAGCACAGAGAGCUUGCUCUCGGGUGACGAGUGGCGGACGGGUGAGUAAUGUCUGGGAAACUGCCCGAUGGAGGGGGAUAACUACUGGAAACGGUAGCUAAUACCGCAUAACGUCGCAAGACCAAAGUGGGGGACCUUCGGGCCUCACACCAUCGGAUGUGCCCAGAUGGGAUUAGCUAGUAGGUGGGGUAACGGCUCACCUAGGCGACGUUCCCUAGCUGGUCUGAGAGGAUGACCAGCCACACUGGAACUGAGACACGGUCCAGACUCCUACGGGAGGCAGCAGUGGGGAAUAUUGCACAAUGGGCGCAAGCCUGAUGCAGCCAUGCCGCGUGUAUGAAGAAGGCCUUCGGGUUGUAAAGUACUUUCAGCGAGGAGGAAGGCGUUGUGGUUAAUAACCACAGCGAUUGACGUUACUCGCAGAAGAAGCACCGGCUAACUCCGUGCCAGCAGCCGCGGUAAUACGGAGGGUGCAAGCGUUAAUCGGAAUUACUGGGCGUAAAGCGCACGCAGGCGGUUUGUUAAGUCAGAUGUGAAAUCCCCGGGCUCAACCUGGGAACUGCAUUUGAAACUGGCAAGCU
rnacentral:rRNA from 1 species